GUUUGAACGAGUUUCCUUUACUAUCUGGAUGGGAGGGGAAUUACAAUAACGGGGUAAGAACGCGUUGUUCCUGAAUCCUUUUCAUCAGUCUAUUCAGAUGAAAAGGAUGGAGGAAAACUAUAUAAUCUGUAUAAUGAAAUUAGCAUCUCUCUACCUAGAAGAACUAAUAUCCAUUGUCACAUUGGAAUCUUGUCUUGAUUUUGUGCAACGUACACGACAAAAGGUUGUUGAUGGAU
rnacentral:misc_RNA from 1 species